rnacentral:misc_RNA from 1 species
AAGUUGUAACAAGGUCUCUGUUAGUGAACUAGCAGAGGGAUCAUUAUAGAGUUGCAAAACUCCUAUCACUAUUGCAAACUUACCUUACAACCAUUGCUUUAGCAGGCAGCCCUAGGCUUCUGCUUUCCUAGAUCCUUAGGGCCCUAUAGCCUAAUUGUCAGGUGCCUGCCAGAGGUCAUGCAACUAGACAUUGUUUAUAGCCUGUUAGAAUUUGUACUACCAAUUAGUUAAAACUUUCAACAACAGAUCUCUUGGUUCUA